rnacentral:rRNA from 2 species
AGACCCGAAACCCGGUGAUCUAGCCAUGGGCAGGUUGAAGGUUGGGUAACACUAACUGGAGGACCGAACCGACUAAUGUUGAAAAAUUAGCGGAUGACCUGUGGCUGGGGGUGAAAGGCCAAUCAAACCGGGAGAUAGCUGGUUCUCCCCGAAAGCUAUUUAGGUAGCGCCUCGUGAAUUCAUCUCCGGGGGUAGAGCACUGUUUCGGCUAGGGGGCCAUCCCGGCUUACCAACCCGAUGCAAACUGCGAAUACCGGAGAAUGUUAUCACGGGAGACACACGGCGGGUGCUAACGUCCGUCGUGAAGAGGGAAACAACCCAGACCGCCAGCUAAGGUCCCAAAGUCAUGGUUAAGUGGGAAACGAUGUGGGAAGGCCCAGACAGCCAGGAUGUUGGCUUAGAAGCAGCCAUCAUUUAAAGAAAGCGUAAUAGCUCACUGGUCGAGUCGGCCUGCGCGGAAGAUGUAACGGGGCUAAACCAUGCACCGAAGCUGCGGCAGCGACACUCAGGUG